GUAGCACAGAGAGCUUGCUCUCGGGUGACGAGCGGCGGACGGGUGAGUAAUGUCUGGGAAACUGCCUGAUGGAGGGGGAUAACUACUGGAAACGGUAGCUAAUACCGCAUAACGUCGCAAGACCAAAGUGGGGGACCUUCGGGCCUCAUGCCAUCAGAUGUGCCCAGAUGGGAUUAGCUGGUAGGUGGGGUAACGGCUCACCUAGGCGACGAUCCCUAGCUGGUCUGAGAGGAUGACCAGCCACACUGGAACUGAGACACGGUCCAGACUCCUACGGGAGGCAGCAGUGGGGAAUAUUGCACAAUGGGCGCAAGCCUGAUGCAGCCAUGCCGCGUGUGUGAAGAAGGCCUUCGGGUUGUAAAGCACUUUCAGCGGGGAGGAAGGCCGGUGAGGUUAAUAACCUCGUCGAUUGACGUUACCCGCAGAAGAAGCACCGGCUAACUCCGUGCCAGCAGCCGCGGUAAUACGGAGGGUGCAAGCGUUAAUCGGAAUUACUGGGCGUAAAGC
rnacentral:rRNA from 1 species